rnacentral:rRNA from 1 species
UUAAAUUGAAGAGUUUGAUCAUGGCUCAGAUUGAACGCUGGCGGCAGGCCUAACACAUGCAAGUCGAGCGGCAGCGGGAAAGUAGCUUGCUACUUUUGCCGGCGAGCGGCGGACGGGUGAGUAAUGCCUGG